UACGAAGGGGGGCUAGCGUUGCUCGGAUUGACUGGGCGUAAAGGGCGCGUAGGCGGUUUGUACAGUCAGACGUGAAAUUCCUGGGCUCAACCUGGGGGCUGCGUUUGAUACGUAUGGACUUGAGUUCGGAAGAGGGUCGUGGAAUUCCCAGUGUAGAGGUGAAAUUCGUAGAUAUUGGGAAGAACACCGGUGGCGAAGGCGGCGACCUGGUCCGAUACUGACGCUGAGGCGCGAAAGCGUGGGGAGCAAACAGG
rnacentral:rRNA from 1 species